UAGAAUUUGUAUUCCUUGUUUUCAUUAGACCUUGACGAGUGUAAGACAAAUGAGGCUCCGUGUUCAAAAACAGCCCUGUGUGUCAACACCUACGGGGGCUACAGGUGUGUGUGCAAUGGCACUGAUCUAAAGGAAGAAUCACAGUCAUGCAUAUUAGGUAAGAGCAUCCCCAGAAAACAGUGUUCAUGCUCAGUGUGAGUCUGGUCAUUACAUUUUUCAUAAAAAUUAUUUUUUUCCUCAGACUGGAACAGCGUUAACCGCACAGACAUGUCGGGUGCUCAGACUACGGAAGAUAAGAAGUCACUAAUUUUGGGGCUGGUCCUGGGAAUUGGUAUUCCCCUCCUGUUGCUGCUGUUGCUGGCGGCCCUCGCCUGCUUCUGCUGCUGCUCACGCAAGAAAACCAUCUCUGGGGAUAUUCCUCAUCUGCUGCCCGAGUACAUUCAAGAGCAGUUCAACCCUCCGUUCAACUUUGACGACCCCUCUCUGCACUACAUCACCCACGUCAGCCCGCGUAUCCUUGACAACCUCACACCUCAACAGAAGCGCCGGUAUCGAUAACACAGGCCCUGUGCGGUUCAUGCAGCAUCAGUGCAGAUUAUUCCUCAUCUGCUGCCCGAGUACAUUCAGGAGCAAUUCAACCCUCCGUUCAACUUUGACGACCCCUCUCUGCACUACAUCACCCACGUCAGCCCGCGUAUCCUUGACAACCUCACACCUCAACAGAAGCGCCGGUACCGAUAACACAGGCCCUGUGCGGUUCAUGCAGCAUCAGUGCAGAUGUAUAUAUCUGUACAUUUGUGUGAUCUCAAUAUGAUAUUAUUUAUAUUAAAAAGAGACUGCUGACUUUUAGUCAUGUGUGAAAGUGAAAGAGCACCAGACAUGCAAAAGAAACAUGGCGCGAUCUGUGAGCAACAAGUUCUGCUGAAUUAUUGCCGCAGUUAUUUGAAGAUACUAACUCUUGUGAAGAAAAUAAUGUGCAUAUGUAUGCAUUACAGUAAUAAAAAUAGUGGUAAAAUAUGCUUUAAUGUUAUGAAAUAAUGUCAAAUACCACAAAAAAAAACACCUUAGUUUGGGGGUGAAAUAUGGCAUUCUUCAAGGAAUUUGAAAUAAUGGUCAAUAAGAUCUUACACAUAAGUGAAAUGUUUCUCUGGUCAGAAUUAUCCUCUUGAAAGCAAAGCAGCUGAAUGUAUGUACAGUAUGUUGUCUAUAAGCAAACAUAUGGCACCAUCAAACCCACUCAAACACUUUUUCUUAAAAUACUUAGCAAUGGUUAUGAUAUUUCUAUACCCACUACGUUUUUCCUCAAAUAAAAUAAAAUAAAAAUCAUCAAUGCCAUGGGAUCAGUUUGAAUUCAAAUCAAAUGCAUUUAUUCAUCUUUUAUAUUUAAGGUCUCUGAGACCCCAAACAAAAGUCAUAUGUUUCCUUGCAGGUUGUUUGAAGUGAGUUAUUGAGUUAUCUACUUGGUUCUUCAAUUUCAAGUAUGAUAUUUGAGCCUUUAAUAAAUCCUUGGGGUCUCUGAGUCCCCCAAAACAACAUGAUCUUCUCACUUUCAUGAGAGCAGAAAUAUCCUUUUACAUGUAAAUAUGUCAUUGUAUUGUAUAACUUGAGAGGUGUAACCUGGGUGGACGACUGUCACUUAGCUAUGUUCCAGCUUUGCAGGUUACCUGGAAACAACUGGCUUCUAUACACAACCCUUUUUUCCAUUCAGAUAAGACUUGUUGACAUCCAUUCUCUCUUAUUCCAUUUGUAGUGACAUUGUUUAAUGGCAUGAAGUAAUGUCAGCUGGGGAUCAAAAUUGAUGCCUAGUUGAAUCUGCAUUUGCCACACAGAAGCAGUAAACUCUUAAAAGAAAGAGCUAUUGGCUGCCCUUAUGGUCCUGCCAUUGGACUCUGCACUUUGCAUGUGUUUAUCUCCCAGCCAUAAAACAAUAAAGUUUAGGAUGUGAACUAAGCUCUUUCAUGCUCCGGUCUUAUCUCCCCUUUACGUCAUUUCUGCAAGCCCUUGACUUGCUUUUUGC
ensembl:lncRNA